rnacentral:rRNA from 1 species
AUUAAUUCGAUGCAACGCGAAGAACCUUACCUGGGUUUGACAUAUGCCGGAAAGCUGCAGAGAUGCAGCCCCCGCAAGGUCGGUUUACAGGUGGUGCAUGGCUGUCGUCAGCUCGUGUCGUGAGAUGUUGGGUUAAGUCCCGCAACGAGCGCAACCCUCGUCCUAUGUUGCCAGCGGGUCAUGCCGGGGACUCAUAGGAGACUGCCGGGGUCAACUCGGAGGAAAGUGGGGAUGACGUCAAGUCAUCAUGCCCCUUAAGUCCAGGGCUUCACGCAUGCUACAAUGGCUGGUACAAAGGGCUGCGAUGCCGUAGGUGGAGCGAAUCCCAAAAAGCCAGUCUCAGUUCGGAUUGAGGUCUGCAACUCGACCCCAUGAAGUCGGAGUCGCUAGUAAUCGCGGAUCAGCAACGCUG